UUCGUAGUUACUUUUUGCAAUAUUUACCUAUCUAUUUAUAUUUUUAUAACAGAAUUCGAAUAAAUAUGUCUGUAUUUAAUUUUUUGCCCGUAGUAAAGAACUGUUGCAUGAGUUGCAGCUUAAAAGUUGGUUCAAUUAUUAUCGCUGUGUUUAUGAUAAUGUUUGUAAUUUUACAAAGUUUGCCGCUCGUGAGUAAGGAUUUUAGAGAUGUGAUUGCAGAGGCAAAUGCAACCGAACCUCCCAAGACUAUACAAUACAUCAGUGCUAUUGUUGCUGUUAUAACUAUCAUCGUAUCUGUAAUGUUUAUCAUCGGCAUUUGUAUUAAUAAACCAAUAACAGCUGAAAUGUUUUUAUAUGUCCUGGCGUUGCAUGUAAUUGUAACAAUAAUUUUUAUAAUUUUUUAUUGUGUUGGAAAGAUAAUUGGAAAAAACUAUUCCUUAAUGGACAUCUUUGUUCAUUCAAUUGUUACAAUAAUUAUGAUUUAUUUUAUGAUUGUUGUGAGAAGUUUCAAAGAUGAAAUGGAGGAAUAAAUAUAAUAUAAACUUAAUGUAUUCAAAAUAAUAGAUUUUAAACUCAUAAUGUCAGUGCUGG